GCUUGCUCCGGUGGAUUAGUGGCGAACGGGUGAGUAACACGUGAGAAAUCUGCCCUUGACUCUGGGAUAACUGCGGGAAACUGUAGCUAAUACCGGAUACUUUCCCUGGUGGGCAUCCACUAGGGAAGAAAGAAUUUCGGUCAAGGAUGAUCUCGCGGCCUAUCAGCUAGUUGGUGAGGUAAUGGCUCACCAAGGCGACGACGGGUAGCCGGCCUGAGAGGGUGACCGGCCACACUGGAACUGAGACACGGUCCAGACUCCUACGGGAGGCAGCAGUGGGGAAUAUUGCACAAUGGGCGAAAGCCUGAUGCAGCAACGCCGCGUGAGGGACGAAGGCCUUCGGGUUGUAAACCUCUUUUAGCAGGGAAGAAGCGAAAGUGACGGUACCUGCAGAAAAAGCACCGGCUAACUACGUGCCUGCAGCCGCGGUAAUACGUAGGGUGCAAGCGUUGUCCGGAAUUAUUGGGCGUAAAGAGCUCGUAGGCGGUUUGUCACGUCUGCUGUGAAAUUUCGAGGCUCAACCUCGAACUUGCAGUGGGUACGGGCAGGCUAGAGUGCGGUAGGGGAGAUGGGAAUUCCUGGUGUAGCGGUGGAAUGCGCAGAUAUCAGGAGGAACACCAAUGGCGAAGGCACAUCUCUGGGCCGUAACUGACGCUGAGGAGCGAAAGCGUGGGGAGCGAACAGGAUUAGAUACCCUGGU
rnacentral:rRNA from 1 species